UUUGAUCCUGGCUCAGAACGAACGCUAGCGGCAGGCCUAACACAUGCAAGUCGAGCGCACUCUUCGGAGUGAGCGGCGGACGGGUUAGUAACGCGUGGGAAUAUACCCUUUUCUACGGAAUAGCCUCGGGAAACUGAGAGUAAUACCGUAUACGCCCUUCGGGGGAAAGAUUUAUCGGUGAAGGAUUAGCCCGCGUAAGAUUAGAUAGUUGGUGGGGUAAUGGCCUACCAAGUCUACGAUCUUUAGCUGGUUUGAGAGGAUGAUCAGCAACACUGGGACUGAGACACGGCCCAGACUCCUACGGGAGGCAGCAGUGGGGAANCUUAGACAAUGGGCGCAAGCCUGAUCUAGCCAUGCCGCGUGAGUGACGAAGGCCUUAGGGUCGUAAAGCUCUUUCGCCAGAGAUGAUAAUGACAGUAUCUGGUAAAGAAACCCCGGCUAACUCCGUGCCAGCAGCCGCGGUAAUAAGGG
rnacentral:rRNA from 1 species